CAGUUCGGAUCGCAGUCUGCAACUCGACUGCGUGAAGGUGGAGUCGCUAGUAAUCGCGGAUCAGCAACGCCGCGGUGAAUGCGUUCCCGGGCCUUGUACACACCGCCCGUCAAGUCAUGAAAGUGGGCAGCACCCGAAGACGGUGGCCUAACCCUUGUGGGGGGAGCCGUCUAAGGUGAGGCUCGUGAUUGGGACUAAGUCGUAACAAGGUAUC
rnacentral:rRNA from 1 species